CCUCACAAAACCAGGCCUCUAUAAAACCAGCUCCCUUCCUGGUUUUCUACUUCCUGCACGCAAACACCAUAUUGAAGCCCCGAAAUCUCAGUGUAAACACCACCUCCAACCCUUUCUCUUUCUAUCUCUAUCUCCCUACUCCUCCCAUUCCACCUUCCAAGCUUUCUCUCUCUCUCUCUCUCUCUCUCUCUCUCUCUCUCUAGUUUAUUCUUCAUAAGCUGAGCCAAGUUGAGCAGAAAACAGUUGGUUAUUGCAGCUGUGGCAUCAUCAAGAUUCACAUUUAUGUUGCCCUAAUGAGAAUCAUGAUGAUGCUGCAACAGCAGUUAUCAGCUAUACCAGAUUAUGUACAGUUUACUUAUGACCACACCAAGAUUUCUGCUGAAUAUGAAUCAAUAAUGAAGGAACAGUGAUUUUGAUUUCAGAAACUUGUGGAUUUUGGGGUUCUGUUUGUAAUUAGGGUUUUUGGAUGGAUUAUGCCAUUCAAGAUGAGUUUUUUUUUUUGGUCUGAAGUCAAUUUGUAAUGUGUUAAAUUAUAUAAAUGGCCAAAUUGAUUUGUUUUGUAAUAAUAUUAUUUUCAGUGUAAAAUAUUAAUUUCAUUUAGUGGGGUUAUUGUUUGUCA